rnacentral:rRNA from 1 species
AAACUGGGCCCAGUUCAGAUUGAAGUCUGCAACUCGACUUCAUGAAGCCGGAAUCGCUAGUAAUGGCGUAUCAGCUACGACGCCGUGAAUACGUUCCCGGGCCUUGUACACACCGCCCGUCACAUCAUGGGAGUCGCUUGUAGCCGAAGUCGGCGUGCUAACCGCAAGGAGGCAGCCGCCUACGCUAUGAGCGGUAACUGGGAUGAAGUCGUAACAAGGUAGCCGUAGGGGAACCUGCGGCUGGAUCACCUCCUUUCUAAGGA